rnacentral:tRNA from 1 species
GCGUCCUUAGUUCAGUUGGUAGAGCGUAGGUUUCCAAAACCUAAUGUCGUAGGUUCGAGUCCUACAGGACGCG